rnacentral:rRNA from 1 species
CCUACGGGUGGCAGCAGUGGGGAAUAUUGGGCAAUGGAGGCAACUCUUACCCAGCAAUGCCGCGUGAAUGAUGAAGGUCUUCGGAUUGUAAAGUUCUUUAAUUGGGGACGAAAAAAAUGACGGUACCCCAAUAAUAAGCCACGGCUAACUACGUGCCAGCAGCCGCGGUAAUACGUAGGUGGCAAGCGUUUUUCGGAAUGACUUGGCGUAAAGGGUUUGUAGGCGGUGUAGCAAGUUAGGAGUGAAAUGCCUAAGGCUCAACUCGGGUACUGCUAUUAAAACUGCUAUGCUGGAAUGCAGUAGAGGAAAGUGGAAUUCCUGGUGUAGCGGUGGAAUGCGUAGAUAGCAGGAGGAACAUCGGUGGCGAAGGCGAUUUACUGGACUGUAACUGACGCUGAGGAACGAAAGUGAGGGGAGCAAACGGGAUUAGAUACCCUUGUAGUC